CCAAAUUCAGCAAAUUGCGAUUUAUGUGGCAGGGACUGGCAAAUUCGGAACAGAGCAAGGGAAAAAGAGUAUGUCUUCGUGGAUUGGCACCGGCAAGGCGGAACUUUGGAUGGAUCUACCGAAGUUCUCAAAGCAUCAGCGUUCACUUGAGAAUGAAUCAACCAAUUGAGGAUGUACCUUAAGUAAAGAAAAAUUCAAGACAAUAAGCAAUAAGACAACAACGAAACAGCACCCUCCAUUCUCUGCAAAUCCAUAACUUCAAGAGAAAAAAUCGAAGCAUUAUAGUCAUAAGAUAUCAAGGAUCUCGCAUAAUGUAUAAUCCCCAACAUUCCUACAAAAAAAAGUCGAACAACGUUGUUCUUAUUUUGUUCACAAAGAAUGUACUAAAUGAACAAGUCGACAACGUUGUUCUUCUCACGUGCCUUUUUAUUUUUUAUUUUUUUCUGUUCUUUUCUUUUCUUUCACUUUUAUUUUUCUCCUCCCCUUUAGUCUACCCCUCUACACGUUCUCUUCUUCGGGCGUCAUCUUCUUCCUUUUGUCUUUCUCCCCUUGAGUCGCAAGGGUUCAUAGAGACACACAGAAAAUAUUAAUAUUCGACCAAAUCCAAGCAAUACGGGACAAAACGCAAAUUGAGAACAACAGGAGAUAUUUGCCAUAGAACAACAGGAUCGCGGGACAACAGGAUCGUGGGACAAAGAUCAACAGAACAGCAACUCGUCAUGGUGUCGAGGAACGCCAGCAAAGGCCAGAUCUAACAACACCCAUCAAUACAUCAUAUUCACAUAUAUGUUGGAAUAUUCCUCCUUGUUCUUAGUGAACCGCUAGUUUUGUCAUUUCAAAAAACAAGUAAAUGCAUAGACUGCGAGAACCAAUCAAUUGAUAAACAUCCUUUCAUAGACGAAUGAAGAAACCAAGGAAAACCAAUCAACACAAG
rnacentral:lncRNA from 1 species